CUCUGCUCUGGCCGAGAGCAGCUCUGGCUCUGCUCUGCCUCCGGCACCCGCACCAGAUCCGGCGCCCCUGCCGCCGCCGCGCCAGUCACCUCCACCCCUCGCAGAUCCGCCGCCCCAAAUCCCGAUCUGAAAAUUGGAAAUUCAAACAGGACGACGUCGUUUCACGAGUAUAGGACGACGUCGUUUCUUCACAUCGUCGCCGGUGCCAAGUCAGCUUUCAGGUGACUUAAAUGGUGCCAAGUCAGCAGUCAAAUUGGGGAUUUUCGAAAAUCAUGGAAAAAUUGAUCACGCCCUUAAGUUCAGGGAAAAUUUGAUAAAAAUCAAAGUUCAUGGUA
rnacentral:lncRNA from 1 species